AUUGGCGGUCAUACCGCAAGGGAAACACCCGGUCUCAUCCCGAACCCGGAAGUUAAGCCNNUGCGAAAAGCAGUCUUUUUUUGCUGCACAAA
rnacentral:rRNA from 1 species